rnacentral:rRNA from 1 species
CAAGAGUUUGAUCCUGGCUCAGGACGAACGCUGGCGGCGUGCCUAAUACAUGCAAGUAGAACGCUGACUACUUUAGCUUGCUAGAGUAGAAGGAGUUGCGAACGGGUGAGUAACGCGUAGGUAACCUGCCUACUAGCGGGGGAUAACUAUUGGAAACGAUAGCUAAUACCGCAUAACAGUGUUUAACACAUGUUAGAUGCUUGAAAGAUGCAAUUGCAUCACUAGUAGAUGGACCUGCGUUGUAUUAGCUAGUUGGUGGGGUAACGGUCCACCAAGGCGACGAUACAUAGCCGACCUGAGAGGGUGAUCGGCCACACUGGGACUGAGACACGGCCCAGACUCCUACGGGAGGCAGCAGUAGGGAAUCUUCGGCAAUGGGGGCAACCCUGACCGAGCAACGCCGCGUGAGUGAAGAAGGUUUUCGGAUCGUAAAGCUCUGUUGUAAGAGAAGAACGUGUGUGAGAGUGGAAAGUUCACACAGUGACGGUAACUUACCAGAAAGGGACGGCUAACUACGUGCCAGCAGCCGCGGUAAGAGGAAGG